rnacentral:rRNA from 1 species
CCCGAAUUCAAAAGAGCUAAUUGAUUAUUUAUAUUAUUGUGGAAUAAAUAUUUAUAAUUUUUGAUUAGCAAUGAAAUGUUAUUCGUUUUUGAAUUUAUCUGGUUUCUUAAGAAAUAGAUUUAAUUUAUAUUAAUUGAAUAUUUUUUUAUUUAUAUAAUUAAAUGUUUAUUUAGUUAAAUAUUCAAGGGGAUUAGCUUUUGGGUUAUUUUAUAAGUUUUGUGUUUAUAAUAAUUAAUAGGAUUAGAAUUUUCCAUUUAUAAGAGGAUGUUAUAAUUAAUUAUUAUUAUUAUUUUAUUUUUAUGGAUUUUAGGUUUACUAUUAAGAUUUUAGCUUAAAUUUUAUUAGUUAAGCAAUAAUGAUUUAAUUAGUAUAGUUUAUUGUAUAAUUAAUUUUAUAUUAUAGUUUACAUUAAGGAAUUCGGCAAAUUAUUUUUCACCUGUUUAUUAAAAACAUGGCUUUUUGUAUAUGAUUUAAGGUCUGGCCUGCCCAAUGAUAAGUUAAAUGGCCGCAGUAUUUUGACUGUGCAAAGGUAGCAUAAUCAUUAGUUUCUUAAUUAGAAGCUGGAAUGAAUGGUUUGAUGAGAAAAUAACUGUCUCAGUGUAAUUGAUUUAGAAUUUUAAUUUUAAGUGAAAAAGCUUAAAUUUUUUAGAAAGACGAGAAGACCCUAUAGAGUUUUACAAUUUUUUUGGAUGAUUAAUUUUGGAUUUAGUUUUAUUUAUUUAGAGUUAUUGUUUUGUUGGGGCGAUAGUAAAAUUUAAUAAACUUUUAUUUUAUAGGUACAUAUAUUUAUGAGUAUUUGAUCCUUAUUUUUGGAUUAUAAGAUUAAAUUACCUUAGGGAUAACAGCGUAAUUUUCUUUGGAGAGUUCUUAUCGAUAAAGAAGUUUGCGACCUCGAUGUUGGAUUAAAAUUAAAUUUGGGUGUAGAAGCUUGAAUUUUAGGUCUGUUCGACCUUUAAAAUUUUACAUGAUCUGAGUUUAAACCGGUGUGAGCCAGGUUGGUUUCUAUCUUUUAGUAUAUAUAAUAUUUUAGUACGAAAGGACCAAUUAU